GCCACCCUGUGCUCGCACUGUUUUUAUAAGCUCCAGGAGACAACGCAGACCUUCUUGGAAAAAUAAAAAACAGGCAGUGGGGCAGAACCGUAGGUACCACCCAGACCCACCAAGAUCAGAUCCAAGCAGCCCAACCAGCCGCGUCGACUGCCAGCGAUGACUGUGAGCACAUCCGCUGCCCCCACCCGGACCGCGAUCCUUCUGUCCCCCCGCGGCGCUCCGGCCCCAGCCCCUCCACACCACGCGACCCCCUGAGGCUCCCGGGGCCAUCUUACCCCCUACGCAACUUGACCCAGCCCCUGGGUCCUGGGAGCUCGGGAGAGGGGCGCCGCGCUCGUUUCCCGGGACCAUCUCGCCACUGCUCCAAGCCGCAUUUCAACAUUUCGCCUUCGACAGCGGUCGGAGAGGAAAGUAAUAGAGCGCCCCCCUCCUCCCUCUCCCUUCCUCCCGACUCCCUGGCCCUCUGCUGGGGUUAAAAAGGAGAAGUGAAAGGUAUGCAAAUGACAAGCAAAUUGGAAGAGCCUGGAAGAAAGGCAGCUCUAAUAAACAAGACAAAGAGAAAGGACGUGGGGACUGGCCCAGGAGUUUUCACCCGGGGAGAUGGGAAGGAUGGAGCUGGGAGGAGAGCGGGGACCCAGACGAACAAAAAGCAAGCCGGUCCCCCUCGCGGUCCUCUCUCCCGAGAAGAGAGGGCGAGAGAAAGAAGGAAAGGAAGCAAACGCCUCCUCACCCCGCAGAAACAGUACACAAAAGAACAAGCCGGUGCAAGUGAUUCUGGAAAAGGGGAGGGGACUCACGAGGGGAGAAGAUACUUACGCGGUGCAGAGAGCAGUGGGACCGAGCCUUUUUUGCAGGCGGAGAGAGGAAAACACACGCGCGCACACACACGUCCUUUCACCUUCCCUGUUUUAUAAAUGGCAAACCUUUCCUAAACAAGCUGUCCAUCCAACCGCCAAAACCACAGGACAAGAAUUUCUACUCAAGGGGGAAACAGCAAGAAAGAAAAAAAGGUCACCAUUCCUAGGUAAAAAACCAACAGAAGGCACCUUUGGCUCCUAGGGUACCAGUGGUUAUUCCUGCAAGUUGAAGAUGGUUCAUCCAGCUACACUUCUGUUGGUUCCACAGCUCAGCCUCUGCAAUCACCAACGCAUUAUUUGCCUCUCCUCAUAGAACUCAGUAGUCUGGGUGCUCAAUUAAUCUUUGGCUGCUUGGGGGAGUUGCCAAUGGGUGGAAAUUCCGCCAAUGAUCUGUGACACAAACAUUAAUUGAGUGGUAUUUCUUUUUUCCCCAACUCAUCCAUCUGUCCUUUCCGAUGCAACCUUUGAGUUUCAAAAGGGUAGAAGGCAAGCUUUCUUUCCAGCACUCAUUUAGCCUAAGAAGACAACCUACGAAGUAGGCAAUGUAUUCUACUGUAGCCUUGUAAAUAACUCUGAAAGAUUCACCAGCCUGAAGCAAUGUCUUAAAUACAAAACCAAUUACGUUCACCCUUUUUUCCCCUUUGCCCAAUUAAAACUUCCUGCUUUCAUGAGGCAAUCAGUAAAUGGCUAGAUCCAAUGUUGCUAGAAUUGGUUGGGGGUACAAGUGAGAGUGGAAAAUGUAAGACAGAAACAGAAGUUUUUUAGAAAAUUAGUCAUUAUCCAUUGUAGGUAGACAAAUCAAGGGCCCAGUUUUCAUGCUGAUUUUGGAUUAUCCUAAAACUUCAAAAAACAUAUCACUAAUAAGAGUGGUUAUUUAUUUAUUUAUUUAUUUUUAUUUUAUUUUUUUGUCCCUUUAGGGCUACACCCAUGGCACAUGGAGGUUCCCAGGCAGGGGUUGAAUCGGAACUAUAGCUGCCAUCCUGCACCACAGCCACAGCAAUGAGGGUUCCUUAGCCCACUGAGCGAGGCUGGGGAUUGAACCCACAUCCUGAUAGUUGCUAGUCUGGUCCCUUAACCACUGAGCCAUGAUGGGAGCUCCUGAUAGGAGUGCUUUUAAGUAAAGCAGAAGAUAUACAUCAAGUUGACUGUGUGGUGUUCCUGUUGCUCGAAUAUGAAAAUACGAUUUUCACAAAUGGAACCAGCAUCUAUUUUUCAAUAGGUCGAAAGGCAUUCAUAAUUGCACUAAUCAUUUUUGCAUAUCGCACUAAUGAUAGGAAAAUGUAGGUCUUGACAUUGGCGCGUUUAGUUACAUUCACUGUGAAAAAAAUGUUGUUUACCCCUGGAGAAUUUCUUAAGGAAAAGAAAAAUCAAUCUCCAUCAAUGAGCAAUAUUUUUCUCCCCUAGGGAUAUUGAUUUGAACAUUGACUUCACAAUGGCUGAGUUAUUUCCCUCAGACCCCUGCGAUGAAUUGUUAGGUGACAUGUCUUGUAUGCGACAGUGAACAUGCUGUUUCUGGUAUAGUAAUCUCGUCAAGGAGAUCCCAACUUUGGAAUUGUGGUUGGUUUGGAAUAGUCCUGCUUUUGUCCAUCUGGGUUGAAUAUUUCCGUGGGAUAUAUUCCAAGUUUAAAAAGCGUCAUCGCUCAUCUUUCUGCUCUUUUAAGUGAAGUAUAGCUUUUUCGAUGCUUGGGAGGGAGAGUCAGGUGGCAGGGAAUAAUUCACUUCUCUGCUGGCUCCUCAACUGGGCACACUCUCAGCUCGUGUGUGUGCGUGGGGCAGUGGGCGGGCAGUGACGCAUGUGUCGUCAUGUAAAUGUCUUUGUGAUUCCAAUUUCUCCCUUUAUGUGGAUGGUACAAUGUCUCUAAUUUGAAAAUGAAGCAGAUUUUCAAUUUACUAGAGAAACCAGGAUGUAAAGGAACGUUGUGGAAGGCGGAGAAGAGGGAGAAGACUCAGAAGUGUAGAAUUCUUGUUAGUGUGAAUGGUCAUUCUUUAAUUUAUCUGUUAGAAUUUGGGUAUAUAUAUAUAUUUUUUUUUUUUUUUUUCACACUGGCAGCUUAUGGGAGUUCCCUGGCCGGUGAUCGAACCUGAAACACAGUGGUGACAAUGUGGAUCCUUAACCCACUGAGCCACCAGGGAACUCCUCUAAUGUGUUUUCAUAAUGAGGUGUUUUUUUUGUUUGUUUGUUUGUUUUUGCUUUUUAGGGCCUCACCUGCGACAUAUGGAAGUCCCCAGGCUAGGGGUCAAAUCAGAGCUACAGCUGCUGGCCUAUACCACAGCCACAGCAACACGGGAUCCAAGCUGCAUCUGCGACCUUCACCACCACUCACAGCAACACCAGGUCCUUAACCCACUGAGCAAGGCCAGGGAUCGAACCUGCAUCCUCAUGGGUCCUAGUCAGAUUUGUUUCCGCUGCACCACAAUGAGAACUCCAUAAAUUUCUUUAAAGUGCUUAUUUAUCCAUCCAUUUAUUCUGUAACGAUUAUUCCUUUACAAUUAUUACACUUAUUCCUUUACAACUGCCUAUUCUGAUAUGUUCCUAUCAUCUGCCAGACGUGGUUCUCAGCCUUGGUGAUAAGAUAAAGAGGACCCAUCCGAGGCAUUCACCGUGUGGUUGCGAAGACAUUCGGUCGGAUAGUUAUGAAUGCACAUUGACACAAAACACUUUAGGAGCCCUGAGGCUUAUUUUCAUGGCCAUUUAGGGCAUCGAGGAAGCCUUCGGGGAGGAGUUGAGUGGACGAAUCAAACCAGGACCUGUGAAGAGUGAGAUUGUGUGUGUGGCACAGAGGAGGCACCGUAGCAUGUGCCAGAAAAAGGUAUGACAAGAGUGACAUUGUAGUACCGUCUGCCAUACGAAUCGGACACAUCUGUAUCGGGCACCUCACAUGCAGCACAUCUUCGUGCUGACUGGGUCCUGGGCAGGAGACCGGCAAUUGGUCCAGAGGCGCCAUGAGGGUGAAAUGAGGGUAGGAUGACAGGAAGGCAUGGUCGCCUCUAGGCCGGGGGAGCCCGAGGUGGCCUCUUCCUGCUGGAGUGCAGAGCACCAGGGGAGGCCUGGCGGUGGUCUGUCCAGGUUGUGGCAGGGAUGGCCCAAAGCCGGAAGGGGACCAGCAGCUGUGUUCACUUGGGGCUUCUCAGUCCCGAGGAGUUUCCGCGAAUGCGCACCUGCCUUUCUGUCACCUGGCUAUGCUCGCUCCAUCUUCCUGCUGCUCUCGCGCUCCCCGGGCUGCCUGCUGUCGUGUGGGGCCUCUGCUGUGUCCUCAAAACGUAUGACUGAGUCUUCAGACUUUCGUCUCCUUCUUCACAUGCUGAAACCAUCCAGCUAUUUCUUAUGCCCAGGUGACCUCAGAGUGCUCGGACUAAAAUGCUCACUUGGGUGCUUAUCACAGAGACUCAUGACUUGAGAAUUGCGGUCGGAUCACGGCCUGAAACUCUUGGUAUUGCUCUUAGGAUGAAGUCCGAAAUCCUGCAUGUGUCCUCCAGGACGUGGCAGCAUCACGCUCCCGUCCACGGCUCCCACCUCCUCUCUUGAAACGCUCCUCACGUCCCCAUGACAAGGGCCCUGUUUCCUGGCGUUUCCAGCCCACGAACACCUUUCGACGUGUUGCUGCUGCUCUUUGAAAGGCCCACCCGACGCCUUCUCCAGACAGAUCUCUCUCUCUAGUAGAGUCCUUUGCUCACGGAAGGCCUCCCUCAUGUCCUGGGUUAGAAACCCUCAUGAGAACGUGCUCGCCACAGCUGUAGUUUUCUUUUAUUCCGCUUGUCAUAAUUGCAUAAGUUAUUUGCACAUAAACCUUGUUCAUCCCACACGCAUUCUUCGAGCCCAGACCAUAAGCCCGUCAAAGCACUCAUCACGUCGCUUGUAUUUUCAUAAGUGAGGCAAUGAAUGGGAAACAAAGAUAUGAUACAGUGUCAGGUAGUGACAGCCACUCUGGGAAAACGUUAAGCUGGGCAAGGGGACGGAGAAGACUGAAGAUCAGCUGGGGAUGAUAAAGAUGAAGGACUUUUGAUUGGCCCGUUCGGGAUAGAAUUCCCAAUCCCCAGCCCGUGCCCAGCAUCUAGAAAGUACCUCACACAUACUGGCUGAGUGAGAAUCCUACCGGCUCAGGCAGCCACGAGGGGCGAAGGGUCGUGCCAUGGGCUAAGUCAGGUGUGCAGCGGGCCUUGUUGCUCCCUAAGGCCCUGGCUGUGUCUGGGGCAGUGUAGACUGUGUGUUCGCCCAACACCCCAUAGGGAUCCGCAUCAAACCGAAUUCCCUGUUCACGCUGAUUAGAGCCACACCUUGUGUGCGGUCGCUCGGCCCACUUUCUUCAUGGCCGAGGCAAACUUGCAACUGGCUGCUGAAUGAAAUAUUGACGCUUUGAAGAAUUGGCGUUCUCACCAGUUUCUAUUUGUACGGAUGAUCAGCUCUUUCUCAGGGAGGAGGAGGAGGAGGAGAAUUUUUUUUUUCUGUGAUCUCUGCGCGUCUAAAUGACUAAUGAAGUCAAUCUGGGCCUGGCAGGUUUUUGCCACGACUUGGACAGACGUAACGCCCAUGAUGUUGUGUUACUUCUCAGCUGGCCGGCUCCCUGGUUCCCACUGCAAUGAUCUCAUUACUGGCAUUUCAUUUUCCAAGUGUCAGAUCGUCCCCGUUUGUGUUGUGUGAUGCCCCUGUGUGGCUUGGACACAAGGCUCUGUCUGCCACUUUUCUUGCAGCCAAGGUUAGCGUCUUGAAGAAUAUCUUUACGAUUAAACAUCUUCUAUGUGCUUCGCUUUGUUUUCCUUUUGGUGAGAUGGGGAGAGAGGGACAUGCAUGCACUCAUAAUUAUCUUCUUUAGUUG
ensembl:lncRNA